rnacentral:tRNA from 1 species
GGGGCUGUGGCUCAGCGGUAGAGCACUCGCCUAGCACAUGUGAGGCCCUGGGUUCGAUCCUCAGCACCA